AUUGAACGCUGGCGGCAUGCCUUACACAUGCAAGUCGAACGGCAGCACGGGUGCUUGCACCUGAUGGCGAGUGGCGAACGGGUGGGUAAUACAUCGGAACGUACCUUAUCGUGGGGGAUAACGCAGCGAAAGCUGCGCUAAUACCGCAUACGCCCUGAGGGGGAAAGCGGGGGAUCGAAAGACCUCGCGCGAUUAGAGCGGCCGAUGCCUGAUUAGCUUGUUGGUGGGGUAAAAGCCCACCAAGGCGACGAUCAGUAGCUGGUCUGAGAGGACGAUCAGCCACACUGGAACUGAGACACGGCCCAGAAUCCAAGGGGAGGCAGCAGUGGGGAAUUUUGGACAAUGGGGGCAACCCUGAUCCAGCAAUGCCGCGUGAGUGAAGAAGGCCUUCGGGUUGUAAAGCUCUUUUGUCAGGGAAGAAACACCGGCUCUAACACAGUCCGGGAAUGACGGUACCUGAAGAAUAAGCACCGGCUAACUACGUGCCAGCCGCCGCAGUAA
rnacentral:rRNA from 1 species